CGUCUUCCUCACCCUCAUCUCUGCGUCUUCCUCACCCUCAUCUCUACGUCUUCCCUCAUCUGCAUCUGCUCGCCCUCAUCUGCUCCGAGUUGUCUGGUAUGGAUAACCACAAUAAUUUGAAUGCUUCUCAAGAGCCAAAAGGAAGAAGGCGUAAAUGGGAAGCAUUUGAGGAAGAAGUAUUACUAUCCGUUCUUGAGGAUUUUGUUGCUCGGAAGCAACGAUGUGACACAGGUGCUUUCAAACAAG